rnacentral:rRNA from 1 species
AUCCUGGCUCAGGACGAACGCUGGCGGCGUGCUUAACACAUGCAAGUCGAACGGAAAGGCCCUGCUUUUGUGGGGUGCUCGAGUGGCGAACGGGUGAGUAACACGUGAGUAACCUGCCCUUGACUUUGGGAUAACUUCAGGAAACUGGGGCUAAUACCGGAUAGGAGCUCCUGCUGCAUGGUGGGGGUUGGAAAGUUUCGGCGGUUGGGGAUGGACUCGCGGCUUAUCAGCUUGUUGGUGGGGUAGUGGCUUACCAAGGCUUUGACGGGUAGCCG